AGAAUCAACGCUGGCGGCGUGCCUCAGACAUGCAAGUCGAACGCGAAAGUCCCCUUCGGGGGCAAGUAGAGUGGCGCACGGGUGAGUAACACGUAGGUAAUCUACCUUUGGAUGGGGAAUAACAACCGGAAACGGUUGCUAAUACCGCAUAAUGCAGCGGCACCUAAUGGUGACAGUUGUUAAAGCGGGGGAUCGAAAGACCUCGCGUCUGAAGAGGAGCCUGCGGCGGAUUAGCUAGUUGGUAAGGUAAUGGCUUACCAAGGCUACGAUCC
rnacentral:rRNA from 1 species